rnacentral:misc_RNA from 1 species
AACGGUCUAUACCUGCGGUACCUGCGGAAGGAUCAUUACAGAGUGUUCUACCCCCUUGUAAAAUGGUGGGUUUAACCUCCCGUCCUUUGCCAGACCCCCCCUUUCGUUGGGGGGCCUUUCAAACCUUUCUGCUUCGGCGGGGUUACCCGUCGGAGCACCCUCAAAAAUUCUUGGUCAAAACUGUUCGGUCCGAGAAACUUAUGAAAAUUGAAGCAAAACUUUUAACAACGGAUCUCUAGA